UACGGGGGGUGCGAGCGUUGUCCGGAAUCACUGGGCGUAAAGGGCGCGUAGGUGGUCUGAUAAGGGUGUGGUGAAAGUCCGGGGCUCAACCCCGGAUCUGCCGUGCCGACUGUCAGACGUCGAGGACUGUGAGAGGCGAGGCGGAAUUCCGGGUGUAGCGGUGGAAUGGCGUAGAGAUCCGGAGGAAGACCGGUGGCCGAAGGCGGCC
rnacentral:rRNA from 1 species